GCAACACUGGAAAUGAAGCCAUAAAAACAAUUAUUUGAAUUCUUUUUUACAUUAUAACAGAUUACUGAUUGAUAUUUUGUGUAACUGACAGGAGAGUGAGCAGAGUUCCGGAUCUGAUGACGAAUCUAAAUGUGAAGGGAGAGCUGCGGCUCAUGAAGUGCAGCGUGCCUACUUGGAUGAGUCUGUGUCUACCAGGUCAGAUACUGAAGUUUCUCCAAGCAAAAUAUUGAACCCCGGAUGGCCUCCCAACCUACUCCUCACUUGAAGACAGUCAUCACAUUCAGCGUUUGAAGAAACUGACAGCUCAUCAUGGCAAAUGUGAGCGCAGUUUUGAGAAGGCUUAUGCAAUGCAGACAAAGGAGGAGCAGGACAGAACAUUAACGUUGCAUCAUCAACUGAACAUGAAGGGUCAUCAUCUGAAAGUGAAGAUACCAUCACCCUUAAUGAAACUCCACCUGAUGUGAUCCAAGAUGACAGCGUUCCUAUGCUCACAAGAACCCAAAGUGUAAUUGUAAGUUUGUCUUCAAACGUUAAUGUAUAAUCUCAAUUAGGGUUGUCACGGUGUGAAAAUUCAACCUCACGGUUAUUGUGACCAAAAUUAUCACGGUUUUCGGUAUUAUCGCAGUAUUUUUUUAAACAUGUUACAUUUUCAGACAACUAAAUAAACCCUGUAUAUCAGGAAAAUAUUGUCCUCAGUUUGUGUCUAUAUGUUGCCUAAAAUUUGUUAUUUUGUAAUUAUGUUGUUUAUUUGUUUACAUUUUUCCCCUUUAGUCUUUAAAAUACCAAUAGUUGCCCAUAACUUUUUAUUUUUUGUCUGUUGGAUGUCAUCAUUUUAAAAAUAUUAGAUCAGAUGAUACUCAGUACUCAAGUAGCCUUCUAAUCAGAUUCUCCAAUAGCAUAUUUACCUUUAUCUAAUGUAUGAAUUAUUCCAUCGGUUGCUUCCAUUAUUGCAAGUGCUGUUGUCCUCUUUUCUCUGAAUCCGUACUGACUAUGGUCUAGUAUUUCGUGUUUAUUUAAAACAUUUUCUAGUCUGAUAUUAAAUAGUUUUUCCAGGAUUUUUGAAAAUUGAGGAAGAAGUGAUACUGGCCUGUAGUUGUUAAAUAGAUGUUUAUUCCCUUGCUUAAAAAUUGGUAUUACUUUAGCUACUUUCAUUUUCUGAGGAAAUAAACCAGUUUGGAAGGAUAAGUUAAAUAUAAAAGUUAAUGUUUUAGAAUAACAUCAAUAACUCUUUUAAACAACACCAUAUCAAUACCGUCACAAUCAGUGGAGACUUUGUUGUUACAUUUAUCAACAACUGAUUUAACUUCCAACUCAUCCACUGCUGAGAGGAAGAUUGAGUCAGGGUAGUUUUUUUUUUAAUUUUUUUUAUCAGUGGUUCACUUAUUGUCUGUCUUUUUUGGCUUGGUAUAUUUGCUGCAAGCUCUGGGCCUACAUUCACAAAAUAUUCAUUCAUUCUAUUAACUACUUUUAUUUUAUCAUAAAUAUCACUUUGAUUAUCAGUAUAGUAUUCAGGGUAUACCAUUUUCUUUUUCCCACCAUUACUUAAUUUGUUUAGUACGGUAUAUCUCAGACACCUUUUAAGUUAUUCUUAUUUUCAUUUAGGAUUUUUCUGUAAUAUAUCUUUAUACUAGUUCUUAUUAUUUCAGUUAAUUUACUUUUGUAAACUUUAUAUCUGAUUUCAGCUUCCUUAGUUCAUAGUUUAAUAAAAUUCCUAUAAAGACUUGUUUUUCUUUUUACAAGCAUUUUGGAAUCCUUUAGUUAGCCAUGGGAGAUUUUUAUACUUAUGACUUCCAUUAAUGACCUUGACUGGACAAUUCUUAUUGUAAAGUGUCUUAAAUAUGUCAAUAAAUUUACUAUAUGCCAUAUCAACGUCAUCUUCCCUAUAGACUACAUCCCAGUCUUGGGACAUCAAUUCCUCUUUAAAUGCAGCAAUUAAAUCGUCUGUUCGUAAUCUCUUAUAUAUCUAUUUCCCUGAUUUUCUUUGACACCUACUUUCUUUAAUUCCAUUGCUGAUGUCAAAAUAUACAUAUAUAGGUCAGUGGUCACUAAUAUAAUUUAUUAGUAUGCCACCUGCAAUAUUUUUUUCAACACAAAUUGUAAAAAUAUUGUCAAUCAAGGUUGCACAUUGUGCCGUAAUUCUUGUUGGUCGUGUGAUCUUCUGGAACAGGGAUAAGCUAUACAUCAUGUCUAAGAAAUCUUCAGUAUGUUUAUGCAGUUUUGACUUCAUGAGAUCAAUGUUAAAGUCCCCACAGAUGAAAAUAUCCUUUUGGCCAAUUUUUGUGUACAUUUUCUCUAUACAGGUUUUAAACUAAUCCAUAUCCGAUCCUAGGGCUCUGUAUAUACAGCUAACUAGUAUAUUGUAAAGGGUUAAUUUACAUUUAUUUAAUGAACCAUAAGACGUGGUUCUAUGGCAAAAAUAGAGUAUCACGAUUUUUCCAAUAUUUUAUCACGAUUUCGAUUUUAUCACGAUUUUUUAUCCAUGGAUAGCAUAACUUCAAUUGCGUAUUAAAGAAGAGAAACAUUGAAUAAAUAAACAUUUAUUCAUAUUAGGGAUAAUCAGCACAGUGCUAACACGCUUAUAUUUUAAACUCACACCAGAGAUGAUAAAAGCCCUGAGAGAAACAAUUACAAAAAUCAGUUUUUCUCGUUUUUCAAGUAACUUAACAUAAAUUAAAAUCAUAAACAUAUUUAAAGUGCAAACAUGUCAAUUGCAAACGUAUUGUGCAAACAUUAACUUGUUAAAAAUACUAUGUAGCUCCCAGUUGCUCAUGUAGUGGAUAGUUAAGCUCAAAUACGGCUCUGAUGUGCGGCUGGACCAGAGAUCGCUUGUGGUAGCAAAAAACUGUGCAUUCUGAAUAUUUUCUGCAACAAGUCUAAGUAAAGUAAAAUUUUCCAGUGCAGAUUGGAGACAACCCAUAGAAGCACUGAUUUGAUCUCAUUUCAGAGAAAAAUAGAACACGUUAGAUGCACCUAAUAAAUAAAAUUACUAACAAACUCAGGAAUGUUUCUUUGCUUCACUGUUCUGGUGCUGAAAAUAUCACUAAUGCGGAUCAAAGGAGAUAUACAGAUGAAUGCACCUCUUAUUAUUUGGAAACUACAUUUACUGCAGCUGGCAGAGGCAGAGAUUGUUUCUAUUGAUACACAGAAUUUACAGAAUCAUUUUAAAUUGUAAUAGGGGAAGACUGCAGGAGGGAGCGGUAAAAUACAGGGGGUCCCCAGCAAAAACAAGAAACUACGAGUCUGAUAAAACCCGCUGGUUUUCCAUCAGGCAGUCACGGGGCAGCUCCAACGACCCAGUGGCCAAGGCGAGCUCAGUCCGGCUCGGCAGAGGGUGAACGAGCCGAGGCGAUGUCGUGCUCUGCUUAAGAAGAAGUGUUAUUUUCCUGCUUCAGAAGAAGCGUCCAACAUGUUUUUACGCUUUCUCCGAGACAUGUCACAUUGCUAAGUUGUUAGCGCCGUGCGCUAAG